UCCAGCUUGUUGGAAAGCUUAGCGGUGCGGGCGAGUGUCCUGGGCCCGUUUCUGGGGUCUAGGGGUCUCCUGAGUCUGCCGCUGCAGCCAUGGCGGCCUCCACCGCGGCCGGGAAGCAGAGGAUUCCCAAAGUGGCCAAGGUGAAAAACAAAGCCCCAGCUGAGGUGCAGAUAACUGCGGAGCAGCUGCUAAGAGAAGCUAAGGAAAGAGAACUUGAGCUUCUUCCACCUCCCCCUCAACAGAAGAUCACAGAUGAAGAAGAGUUAAAUGAUUACAAACUAAGGAAGAGGAAGACUUUUGAAGACAACAUAAGAAAAAACAGGACUGUGAUUAGUAACUGGAUAAAAUAUGCACAAUGGGAAGAGAGUCUAAAGGAGAUUCAAAGGGCUCGAUCCAUAUACGAACGUGCUUUGGAUGUGGACUAUCGAAAUAUUACACUCUGGCUGAAAUAUGCAGAAAUGGAAAUGAAGAAUCGCCAGGUCAACCAUGCCCGAAAUAUCUGGGACCGGGCCAUAACGACUCUGCCUCGCGUCAAUCAGUUCUGGUACAAGUACACGUACAUGGAGGAGAUGCUGGGGAACAUGGCGGGUGCCCGGCAGGUGUUCGAGCGCUGGAUGGAGUGGCAGCCAGAGGAGCAGGCCUGGCACUCCUACAUCAACUUCGAGCUGAGAUACAAAGAGGUGGAUCGGGCCCGCACCAUUUAUGAGCGCUUUGUUCUUGUGCACCCUGAUGUGAAGAACUGGAUCAAGUACGCCCGCUUUGAAGAAAAGCAUGGUUACUUUGCCCAUGCGCGGAAGGUGUAUGAGAGAGCUGUCGAAUUCUUUGGGGAUGAACAUAUGGAUGAACACCUUUAUGUUGCCUUUGCCAAAUUUGAGGAAAAUCAAAAAGAAUUUGAGAGGGUACGAGUGAUCUAUAAGUACGCCCUGGAUCGAAUUUCAAAGCAGGAAGCCCAGGAACUCUUUAAAAAUUACACCAUCUUUGAGAAGAAGUUUGGUGACAGGCGGGGCAUUGAAGACAUCAUCGUGAGCAAACGGAGGUUCCAGUACGAGGAGGAGGUGAAGGCUAACCCACACAACUAUGAUGCAUGGUUCGAUUACUUGCGCUUGGUGGAAAGCGACGCAGAGGCAGAGACGGUGCGGGAAGUCUAUGAGCGAGCCAUCGCCAACGUGCCGCCUGUGCAGGAGAAGAGGCACUGGAAGCGCUACAUCUACCUGUGGAUCAACUAUGCCCUCUACGAGGAGCUGGAGGCGAAGGAUCCGGAGAGGACGAGACAAGUUUACCAAGCCUCUUUGGAACUCAUUCCUCAUAAAAAGUUCACAUUUGCCAAAAUGUGGUUACUGUAUGCACAGUUUGAAAUAAGACAGAAAAAUUUACCAUUUGCCAGAAGAGCUUUGGGAACUUCCAUAGGCAAGUGUCCAAAGAACAAGUUAUUUAAAGGUUACAUAGAACUGGAGCUACAGCUUCGAGAAUUUGACAGAUGCCGGAAGCUUUAUGAAAAGUUCCUGGAAUUUGGGCCUGAAAAUUGUACCUCUUGGAUUAAAUUUGCAGAAUUAGAGACAAUCCUUGGCGAUAUCGAGAGAGCCCGGGCCAUCUACGAGUUAGCCAUCAGUCAGCCACGCUUGGACAUGCCGGAGGUGCUUUGGAAAUCAUAUAUUGAUUUUGAAAUUGAGCAGGAAGAAACUGAAAGAACACGAAAUCUUUACCGACGAUUGCUUCAACGGACACAACAUGUCAAGGUAUGGAUCAGUUUUGCACAGUUUGAGUUGUCCUCAGGGAAGGAAGGAAGUUUGGCUAAAUGCAGACAAAUUUAUGAAGAGGCUAACAAAACCAUGCGAAACUGUGAAGAAAAGGAAGAGAGACUUAUGUUGCUGGAAUCUUGGCGAAGCUUUGAAGAUGAAUUUGGAACAGUAUCAGAUAAGGAGAGAGUAGACAAACUCAUGCCAGAGAAAGUCAAGAAGAGAAGAAAGGUCCAAGCUGAUGAUGGGUCGGAUGCAGGCUGGGAAGAAUACUAUGAUUACAUCUUUCCGGAAGAUGCUGCCAACCAGCCCAACCUCAAGCUCCUGGCCAUGGCCAAACUGUGGAAGAAACAGCAGCAGGAGAAGGAGCCUGGCGAGCAAGACCCAGAUGCGGACGUUGCCGAGCAGGAAUCCGGGCCUUCCUGUUCCUGUUGAGAGAUGUUUUAUUAUUUUUAUAGAUUUAUAGUUUAGAACUCUUGCAAUUCCUGUGCAAUGCUGGCUGUGUUUCCCAAACUUAAUGGACAAGGGAAUCAUCUCUACCUAGAGCACCAAUAAAUGUUGCGCGGCGUGCUGCAGUAGACUGUCUACCUGUAAAACCUGACACGUUCAACUUAGCCUCGAUUUAGAACGUGAAAAACAGCUGAGAGCUCCAGGAUCAUCUAAUGAAAAUAAUAUUGUCCAUAAAAUAUCUGGAGCAUCAUCAGCCUAAGAACCACUGCUCAUGGUUAUUC